UACAGAGGGGGCAAGCGUUGUUCGGAAUUACUGGGCGUAAAGGGCGCGUAGGCGGCCUUCUAAGUCGAACGUGAAAUCCCCGGGCUCAACCCGGGAACUGCGUCCGAUACUGGAGGCUUGAAUCCGGGAGAGGGAUGCGGAAUUCCAGGUGUAGCGGUGAAAUGCGUAGAUAUCUGGAGGAACACCGGUGGCGAAGGCGGCAUCCUGGACCGGCAUUGACGCUGAGGCGCGAAAGCCAGGGGAGCAAACGGG
rnacentral:rRNA from 1 species